AACAAGGUGGCCGAGUGAUUAAAGCAAUGGACUGUUAAUCCAUUGUGUUCUGCACGUGUGGGUUCAAAUCCCAUCCUUGUCA